AAUACCCAUAAAAUACCUAUAAUUUUUCGGGUCCAUAUCGGGUCCGGGUCGGAUUCGGGUACUUAGGAUCUAAAAAAGACAUGACAUACCCAAUUCUAUCAAAUUUAGUUAAUAUUUGUCAUAUAUAUCUAAAAUUUUACAAAAUAACCUAAAUGAAACUAUUAAUAAUUAACAUAAAACAUUUUUAAACUCUAAAUUUUACAUUUUAAAGCUUCAUAUUACUUAAACAAUAUUACAAAAUAAUAACAAAUGUUGUUAACAAAAGAUAUUUCAACUAAAUCAUAAAAUAAUAUAUAUAAAAUAGAACACAAAAACAUUAUAGUUUUAGAUAUACAUGUUUUUAAGUUGGGUACAAAUCGGUUUUUAUCGGGUCGGAUCUAUUCGGGUCGGUUCUUUUCGGGUCCGGGUCUAUUCGGGUCGGUUCCUUUCGGUUCCAAAUCCAUUCGGAUACAAAAAAUUAGACCCAAAAGGUACUUAUAAAUUUCCGAUGCGGGUCUGGAUCGGGUAUUUUUAGGUCGGUUCCGGUUCGGAUCUUCGGGUCCAGGUUAAAAUGCCCAGGCCUACUUGCAUCAGCAGCAACAACAAACAAAAUCAGUUUCCUUUUAACUCUUAUGCGGAAAACCCAAAACCAAACUAAAUAUCUGUUUUGCAAAUACAUAAAAUUACUCUGUUUUAUUAAUACAGAGGAUCAUUCCUUCAAGAAGUGAUGUUAAGUGACUUAAGUUGCUGCAAUUAAUUUAUCCUAUAAUAUAGAUUUUGUUUAGUUCUGGUUGUAAUUAAAAGACUUGGAUAUAUAAAAGUUGGAAGUUGAAUUUCCUCUGUUUUCUGAAACCAAAAAUUUUAAAUCUAACUCACUUUUUGGUGGUCCAUAUAUUUCACAAAUAGAAACUUGACUGAAAGGUAAAACUACAUUCCUGCCCUGACUAAAAAAAUAUAGAGCUGCAGUUUAUAAUUUAUACAACCACACACACAUAAUCAGUCCCAAAUGAGUACUAGAGUCUAGAGGAAUCUCUGGCUAUAAUCCAGAGAGCAUGUAUUUCACGUGAUCAGUUUCGCCUACCAGUGUUGCUAUUUGAGGACGAACACUAAGUACCAGUCCAUAAGUCAUGUCAUGUUCUGAGCAGCCAUUCUUUCGCAAACACUAGACAGAGAUUUGAGAUUGCAUCGUAUAAGUGCUUCCACAAAGUAACAAGUCUCGUCUUUGGUGUUCCCUUCUGGUACAUCCACCACAAA